AUGGUGGUUUGUCCAUCAGGCAACGUGAUGCACUCCGUGCCGCUCACACGUAACCCAAAUACAACGAGAAGACUCCACAGCGAAACACGUCGGGCGUUUAAUUUGCACGCACACGCAUGGCAAUAAGAUGGGCGACCCCAGCAACCAUACCAAGCGCGAUAUUGCGUCCACAGCGGGUUCGUGAAAGAUGAUGGGGAGGCGGGGAGGGAUCAGCGGUGCACCUGGUCGGUCGGUCGCCUCCUCUCUCCGCUCACCGGGGAACAUCCGUCCGGCGGUUCCCCAUGAGUAGACAAGAUAGUUGGUUCAUCAGUCGCGACAUGCCGUAGUUCUUUGUUAGUGCUCAAGAAUAUAUUCUCUGCCAAAAAUAUGCAGAAUGAUUCCGACAAGCAGAGAAUCCGAAGUUACGGGGACGGCAUGAAGACUUGCGUAUUGGAUCAGAAUGAUCGACCCCAACGUGUUCGUCGCACUCAUUGUCGCCCUGAGUUUGUUCAUCGUCGGCGCUAUCAUUUCGGCUAUUUUAUACUUGUGCAGAGUCCUGAAAAAGGAUGCACGCAGUAGAUACAAAGAGGAAGAAGAUCAAGUCAUUGUGCUGGAUGGCACAGAACCUCCACCACCGUACGCAUAGCUACCCAUGUUGCCAGGCGUUAUAGCCUCAAUAUAAAAUUGUUGUUUUCAACA